rnacentral:rRNA from 1 species
GACGAACGCUGGCGGCGUGCUUAACACAUGCAAGUCGAACGGGCCCGCCCCUGUUUUUGGGGGUGGGUUGAGUGGCGAACGGGUGAGUAUCACGUGAGUAACCUGCCCCCUGCUCCUGGAUAACUGCUUGAAAGGGCGGCUAAUACGGGGUGUGCCGGCUGGUCCGCAUGGGCCUGGUCGGGAUAGUUUCAUCUUCGGGUGUUUCGGUGGGGGAUGGGCUCGCGGCCUAUCAGCUUGUUGGUGGGGUGAUGGCCCACCAAGGCGGUGACGGGUAGCCGGCUUGGGAGGGUGGGCGGCCACAGUGGGACGGAGACCCGGCCCAGACUCCUGCGGGAGGCAGCAGUGGGGGGUAUUGCACAAGGGGCGGAAGCCUGAUGCAGCGACGUCGCGUGAGGGAUGGAGGCCUUCGGGUUGUGAACCUCUUUCUCCGGUGGUGAAGGCCCUGUCCGUUGCGGCGGGGUUGACGGUAGCCGGGUAUGAAGCGCCGGCUAACUACGUG